GAUAAACGCUGGCGGCGUGCUUCAGGCAUGCAAGUCGAACGGACCUUCGGGUCAGUGGCGGACGGGUGAGUAACACGUAAGUAACCUGCCCAGAAGUGGGGAAUAACUAGUCGAAAGAUUGGCUAAUACCGCAUGUGAUGGUUCUGCCCUGGUGGGAUCAUUAAAGAUUUAUCGCUUCUGGAGGGGCUUGCGGCCGAUUAGCUAGUUGGUGGGGUAAUGGCCUACCAAGGCGACGAUCGGUAGCUGGUCUGAGAGGACGGUCAGCCACAC
rnacentral:rRNA from 1 species